rnacentral:misc_RNA from 1 species
AGUUUUCUGAUCCUUGCGAUCACCUACAUGAACAUGUAACUCGAGGAUAAUUAGUGUGAUAAUCCUACAUUUAACACAGUAUGGAAUUCAAGAUAAAAAAAGCAUUGGUAUAUCAAACUGCACUUAGGAAAUCAAGAUAAAGGCAGGCAAACAUAUAAAAUCUUAGGUCUAAGCACUGGCACCCCCUUCUAAUAAAAAUAAUCACCACUCUCCCAUUUUAUUUUGGUCCUCUGUAUUUGUUGGACUGGAAUUCUGUUUCUUAUUGCAUAUGCUAUUGGGCCUAACAACACUAGCAUAUAAGUUAAAGCUUUUAUUUUUAUUUUGAACUUCAGUUUCAGGUUAAUAUAUUGCUGUUUAAAACUCAAUGUUG